UUAUAAACUGCCCAAGCACAUUGGCUUUUGGUGUCUGGCCUCCCUGAACUGUCUUCCAGGACAGUGUGUCUCUAGCUCUCUCUGGGGAGGCUCCUGUGCGUGGGUAAUGAGAAGUCACUUGGCAUAGUCGCAUUUGUGAUAAUGACUCUGCUUUGGGGAUAGCUGAGACUAUUAAAGAGCUCUAGCUUUGAAAGAUCCAGAAGCUGGGGUUGAUGGCACACAUCUGUAAUCCCAGCUCUUGGAAGACCGAGUCAGGAGAAUCAGGAGUUCCUCACCAGCCUGGGCUACAUAGUGAGACCCUCUCUCAAAAAAAGAGGGGAUUGGGGGGAAGACCCACAGAUUUCACCUAGAAAACUAUAUUGAAUAAAUCGAAUUUUUUCCAAAUUAAAAAUGACAGAAUUAAAGCUCCAGGCCCCAUUAGCCACCUCUGACACAUAAUGAAUGAUUACCACUUUCUGUUCUCAGGAGGGACCUGGUGGUGGUAGCCCAGAAUUUUUUCUGUGCUGGCUGUGGAACUCCAAUUGAACUUAAGUUUGUGAAGAGGCUCCGGUACUGCAACUAUCUGGGGAAGUAUUUCUGCGAGAGCUGUCACUCAUAUGCAGAGUCCUGCAUCCCAGCACGAAUCCUGAUGAUGUGGGACUUCAGGAAGUACUACGUCAGCAACUUUUCCAAACAGCUGCUCGACAGCAUAUGGCACCAGCCCAUUUUCAAUUUGCUUAGCAUCAGUCACAGCCUGUACUCGAAAGCCAAGGAACUGGACAAGGUUAAGGACAUCCAGGAGCAGCUGUUCCAUAUCAAGGAAGCUGUUGAAGACUUGCAGGUUGCCCACAG